GGUUUCCAUUCAGCAAUAGACUGUAAACAAGCCUGAUGUUUUGCCUUCAUUUAGGAAGACAUAUCUCAAGACCUAGUAACAGUUUGCUGCUGGCUGCAAAUGACUCUGAUCAUAGAGUGAACUAGCCCUUCAAGUCUCUUUCUCACUGACAUCCCCACAUCUCGUAUGCUUCAGCAUCAAAUCAGUGGUCUUCCCUAAUGUUCCAAAUUCUUUCAUACCUCUGGGCUUCUGCAUUUACUGUCUCCUCUGCCUGAGACUUCUAUGAUCUCUUCUAUUCAUCUGGUGAAUUCAUACUCACUCUUUGAGAUUUAGACCAAACUUCAGCUGCACCAGGAAGUGAUUCAGGCCAGGCUAGGUGCCUAUCUUCUAAGCUUCGAUAACACUCCACUGCACCCUUCUAUGCACUUAACACACUUCAUGAUAGUCUUGGUUUACUUAUUUCUGUGGUACUUCUACAAGAUUCUUGAAAACAUGGACUUAUAUUAUUCAUCUUAUUUUGUUUAUAUAUUCUCAUCUCCUAGUUAGUACAAUUCCUGGCACAUAGGAGAGCUCAUAAAUGUUAUUUAAAUGAAUAAACAAAUAAUUGAAUUAUUAGUAAAAAGCAGGCAAAUUAAGUAGAUUUCUCUACAUUGUGACUUGAAGAUCUUCCCAAAGAACAAAAAUACCUGAAAAGCCACCAUUAGAGAUUUACUAUAGAUUAUUUUGACCUGGCAGUAAAAUUGCAGCAUGGCCUUAAACAAUGCUGGCUUUCUUAGCUAAUAGUUUUUCAUCACAUUAAAGUACACUACAAUCAUCCAUCUCCUCCAGAAACCUAAGAGUAGGGUUACAAAAGAACAUAAAAGGUAAGUUCCAAUAAGAGACAAUUCAUGUCUUAAAUUUACAGAAUGGAAUAAUGCUCAAGACAGGGAAGGUCUAAAUAAGUGAUUAGCACACCGUUUUGGGGAGCAUUCAGACUUGAGUUUGAAUCCUAGUUCUACCACUCAAUAGCUAUGAGAUUUGGGAAAAUGUACUUUCUUACUCCUGCAUCAAUUUCUUCAUCUGGAAAAUGGGAAUAUUAACAUCCAAAUCAUAAGAUUAAAUGAGAUAACAUAUAAAAUGCUUUUCAGGAGUUCCCAGGCUCAGGGUCAAAUCGGAGCUGUAGCUGCCAGCCUACGCCAGAGCCACGGCAACACAGGAUCCGAGCCGUAUCUGCAACCUACACCACAGCUCAUGGCAACGUUGGAUCCUUAACCCACUGAGCAAGGGCAGGGACUGAACCCACAACCUCAUGGUUCCUAGUCGGAUUCGUUAACCACUGCGCCAUGACGGGAACUCCUGCACCACUUAUUGAAGAGACUGUCUUUCCUCCAAUGAGACUGUCUGUCCUUGCCUCCUUUGUCAUGGAUUAGUUAACCAUAGCACACAGGUUUAUUUUCAGGCUUUCUAUCCUGUCCCAUUGAUCUAUAUUUCUGUUUUUGUGCCAGUACCAUACUGUUUUGAUGACUGUAGCUUUGUAGUAUAGUCUUGAGUCAGGGAGCCUGCUUCCUCCAGUUCUGCUUUUCUUUUUCAAUAUUGCUUUAGCUAUUUUGGAUUUUUUGUGUUUCCAUACAAAUUUUUUUAUUCAUGUAUUUAUUAAAGUAUAGUUGAUUUGCAAUGUUGUGCCAAUUUCUGCUGUACAGCAAAGUGACCCAGUCAUGCAUAGCUAUACAUUCCCUUUCUUCUCUCUCUCUUUUUUUUUUUCUAUCUUUUUGCCUUUUCUAGGGCCACUUCCUGCAGCAUAUGGAGGUUCCCAGGCUAGGGGUCUAAUCAGAGCUGUAGCCACCGGCCUACGCCACAGCCACAGCAACACGGGAUCCAAGUCACGUCUACAAACUACACCACAACUCAUGGAAACACCGGAUCCUUAACCCACUGAGCAAGGCCAGGGAUUGAACCCGAAACCUCAUGGUUCUUAGUCAGAUUCGUUAUCCAUUGAGCCACGACAGGAACUCCUUAUCUUAUCUUCCACCAUGGUCCAUCCCAAGAGAUUGGAUAUAGUUCCCUGUGCUAUGCAGCAGAACCUCAUUGCUUAUCCAUGCCAUAUAAAUUUUAAAAUGUCCUGUUCUAGUUCUGUGAAGAAUGGCAUUGGAUUAAGAAGAUGUGGUGCAUAUAUACAAUGGAAUACUACUUGGCCAUAAAAAAAGAACAAAGUAGAGUUCCCACUGUGGCUCAGUGAUAAUGAACCUCACUAGCAUCCAUGAGGUUCCAAGUUUGAUCCCUGGCCUCCCUCAGUGGGUUAAGGAUCUAGCACAGACUGGGCUCGGAUCCUGAAUUGCUGUGGCUCUAGCGUAGGCUGGCCACCGCAGCUCCAAUUUGAUUCCUAGCCUAGAAACUUCCAUAUGCUGCACAUGUAGCCCUAAAAAGCAAAAGAAAAAAGAAAAAAAAAAA
rnacentral:lncRNA from 1 species